AACCAGAUUUUUCAUGAAAUAAGUUAUAAAUCUGUUUUAUUGAGCUAACAUUUAAAAACAAGAAAUGUAAAUAUUAUGGUUGAACACUUAACAAUUUGUUGUAUCGUCUCUGUCUACUCAAGAAGAUCUUACUCCAGAUUGACAGAUAUUUACGUUUUUGCAAAACAAGUAAUGUAAACAACAACAGCAAUAAAAAAUUACAACAAGCAAUAAAAAUAGUAGAGGCGUCACGCGGGCAAACUCAAAAGCCGUUGAACGCCUAUGGCGAUUGGACUCACGCUUAUAAAAGGCCUCACUUGCCGCACCGUAUAGCUCGAUCAUUGGAGCAACAGGUAUUUAACUUUUGUGAACAGUCACGAACGACCGACUGGGCCGGCCAAGUUGUCAUAAGUUCACGCGCGAUGGCGUCCAAUGACCAGUGACAAAGCGCGCGUGACGCCGGUGCAACAGAAACAUAACAAUCACACUUCAAGCACGUCGUUUGACCGUCCGUCCAGAAGUGUGAUGGCGUUCACAGCAGUUAGUACUUUGAUGUUUCUUCGGCACAAGAGGUAAUGAGAUCUUCGCUAGCCGGUCCGGAGGGUUAUGAGCAUUUCGUUGUCGGUAUACGCUUCGCUUACGUCGAACUAUAGGGAGCACAAAGAAAAA
rnacentral:lncRNA from 1 species